CGGGAGCCCUCGGACCACAACGGGCGGGUGGCCACCCACAGCCUGAUCACCGGCCUGCAGGAAUACAUCCGCGAGAGCUUCGCCUCAGUGCGGGUGCAGGACGGGGUUGACAUCACCCGGACCAACCUGGAGUUCCUGCAGGAGCAUUUCAGCCGCAUCGCCACCCACAUCCUGCGCU